rnacentral:rRNA from 1 species
UACAGGGGGUGCAAACGUUGCUCGGAAUCAUUGGGCGUAAAGCGCACGUAGGCGGAUUCUUAAGUCAGGGGUGAAAUCCCGAGGCUCAACCUCGGAACUGCCUUUGAUACUGGGGAUCUCGAGUUCGGGAGAGGUGAGUGGAAUUGCGAGUGUAGAGGUGAAAUUCGUAGAUAUUCGCAAGAACACCAGUGGCGAAGGCGGCUCACUGGCCCGAUACUGACGCUGAGGUGCGAAAGCGUGGGGAGCAAACAGG